AGAGUUUGAUUCUGGCUCAGAUUAAACGCUGGCGGCAUGCCUUACACAUGCAAGUCGAACGGCAGCACGGGGUGGUAACACUCUGGUGGCGAGUGGCGGACGGGUGAGUAAAGCAUCGGAACGUGCCCUGGAAUGGGGGAUAACGUAGCGAAAGUUACGCUAAUACCGCAUAUUCUGUGAGCAGGAAAGCAGGGGAUCGCAAGACCUUGCGUUCGAGGAGCGGCCGAUGUCGGAUUAGCUAGUUGGUGGGGUAAAGGCCUACCAAGGCGACGAUCCGUAGCGGGUCUGAGAGGAUGAUCCGCCACACUGGGACUGAGACACGGCCCAGACUCCUACGGGAGGCAGCAGUGGGGAAUUUUGGACAAUGGGCGCAAGCCUGAUCCAGCCAUGCCGCGUGAGUGAAGAAGGCCUUCGGGUUGUAAACUGCUUUUGUACGGAGCGAAACGGCUCACCCUAAUACGGUGGGCUAAUGACGGUACCGUAAGAAUAAGCACCGGCUAACUACGUGCCAGCCGCCGCGGUAA
rnacentral:rRNA from 1 species